CAGGGAUUGCCCUAGUAACGGCGAGUGAAGCGGCAACAGCUCAAAUUUGAAAUCUGGCGCAAGCCCGAGUUGUAAUUUGUAGAGGAUGUUUCUGGCGACGUGCCUUCCGAGUUCCCUGGAACGGGACGCCAUAGAGGGUGAGAGCCCCGUACGGUUGGAUGCCUAGCCUCUGUGAAACUCCUUCGACGAGUCGAGUAGUUUGGGAAUGCUGCUCUAAAUGGGAGGUAUACGUCUUCUAAAGCUAAAUACCGGCCAGAGACCGAUAGCGCACAAGUAGAGUGAUCGAAAGAUGAAAAGCACUUUGAAAAGAGGGUUAAAAAGUACGUGAAAUUGUUGAAAGGGAAGCGUUCAUGACCAGACUUGGGCAGGUUGAUCAUCCGUGGUUCUCCGCGGUGCACUCUGCCUGCCCAGGCCAGCAUCAGUUCGCCCCGGGGGAUAAAGACUUUGGGAAUGUGGCUCCCUCGGGAGUGUUAUAGCCCACUGUGUAAUACCCUGGGGUGGACUGAGGUUCGCGCUCUGCAAGGAUGCUGGCGUAAUGGUCAUCAACGACCCGUCUUGAAACACGGACCAAGGAGUCGUCUUCGUAUGCGAGUGUUCGGGUGUCAAACCCCUACGCGUAAUGAAAGUGAACGUAGGAGAGAGCUUCGGCGCAUCUCCGACCGAUCCUGAUGUUCUCGGAUGGAUUUGAGUAAGAGCAUACGGGGCCGGACCCGAAAGAAGGUGAACUAUGCCUGUAUAGGGUGAAGCCAGAGGAAACUCUGGUGGAGGCUCGCAGCGGUUCUGACGUGCAAAUCGAUCGUCAAAUAUGGGCAUGGGG
rnacentral:rRNA from 1 species